rnacentral:rRNA from 1 species
UAUGUGACUCAUCACAGUCAUCACCGUU